rnacentral:lncRNA from 1 species
CAUACAAAAGGAAAAUCAGCCAGGGGUGGAGGCACACAUCUGUGCUCCUAGCUACUAGGCAGGAUGAGAUGGAAGGGUCGCUUGAGCACAGAAGUUUAAAGCAGUAGUGAGCCGUGAUGGCACCACUGCAUGUUUCCAUGGGCAACUGAGUAAGACCCUGUCUCAAAAAAAGAAACGGAGGAAGGGCGGGAGGGAAGAGCCAUUGGGAUGUUGAUAGGAUUUCAUUUAAUCAGUAGAUCACUUUGGGUAGUGUUGUCAUCUUAACAAUCCAUGAACUUGGGAUAUCUUUCCAUUUAUUUAGGUAUUUUAUAAUUUCUUUCAGCAAACUAUGGUAUUUUUCAGCCUCGAGUCUUUUACCUCCUUGGUUAAAUUUAUUCAUAAGUAUUUUACUUUUGUUGAUGCUACUGAAGUGGAAUUUUUUUUUAAUUUCCUUUUCAUAUUGUUCAUUGGUAGUGUAUAGAAAUGCCACUAGUUUUCGUGUGUUGACUUUGUACCCUGUGUCUUUGCUGAAUUCAGUUAGCGGGGAGCACAUUCUUCAUGGUCUUCUAGAUAUAGGAUCAUGUCAUCUGCAAAUAGGCCUUAGAAAGGCAUCCUUUCUAAUGUGGAAACUUUCUUUUUCUCUUUAUAGCCUAAUCCUCUCACUUAGAGCAUCUAAUACUCUGUUGAAUAGAAGUGGCAAAAGCAGGCAUCCCUGUCUUGUUCCUGAUCCUACGGAAAAGCUUUCAGUCCUUCACCAUGGAGGGUGAUGUUAGCUGUAGGUUUUUCUUUUCUUUUUUUUGAGGCAGAGUUUUGCUCUUGUCGCCCAGGCUGGAGUGCAAUGUUACUCGGGAGGCUAAGGCAAGAGAAUGGCUUGAACCCAGGAGGCAGAGGUUGCAGUGAGCNNNNNNNNNNUUUUUAGUAGAGAUGGGGUUUCACCACGUUGGCCAGUCUGGUCUUGAAUUCCUGACCUCAGGUGAUCUGCCCACCUCAGCCUCCCAAAGUGUUGGGAUUACGGGCGUGAGCCAUCAUGCCCUGCUGGUUUUUUCACUUAAGUGGUUUUUACCACGUUGAGGAGGUUUCUUCUCUCCCCAGUUUAUUAAGUGGUUUUAUCACCAAAAGGUGCUGGGUUUUUUUCAGAUGCCCUUUCUGCAUCAGUUGAGAUGAUCCUGUGGGAUUUAUGUCAUGUAUUGCAUUGACUUUCAUGCUGACUCACUUUUGC